GGCUUGUUAGCGCAGUUGGAAGGGCGCCCAUGCCAUACCAGAAAGAAUACGGAUGCAUAUAUGUGGGGGGUCUCGGUUCGAACUCGGGAUAAGUCG